GUUUGGUGUCUCCUGUCCAUUGCGAGGAAAUGAGUUAUGCAUUCAAGCAUCAAAUUUAUUUUGGAACAAGACAUCAAGGUGAAGUUGCGAUCUCCAUUUUUGUUGUGAUUCUCUGAAAAAAUAUCAUGAAAAGUAUUUUGUUUGCAUUCGAUCCUAGAUUUUUUCUCAAACCAUAUUUAAUUUCAUAAAUAUCAUAUUAUCAUGUAGUGAUCACAGUCUGGAAUCUGGAAUGCUAUUGAUGCAAUUACAACUGGCUCAAAUUCUGACAACAAAAGGUGCGUAAAAUUUGAUGCCACUAAUUUGAAUUUUUUUUGCUGUUAAAUCCUCUCUCCAGUGGUGUUUUUGUCACCCCUGUGCAAGUCGCUUCUCUUCAGUUCAUCUCUAUUUUACUGCCCAUUCAAAGGACUGCUUGAUCUUCUCAAUUGUUUGAAUGAGAUUACAAUGACAACAGCUUCCAUUCAACCAAAGAAUGGUUUUUCUACAUCAAGUCAGCGUGAAUUGUGGUUUCACAAGGUUUGUUCUACUCGAGAUGUUUUGGAAGAUUGGAGAAAUAAGAAGCUUUAACACGACGUAUAUCUGAUGAAUAUGGCCAUGGAUAAGAAGUGGCAAGGGCGUCCCAGAUGAAAGAUCUUUGUUGAGAGAAUUAUAACUUAUUUCUUGCAGGUAUGAGGGGAUAUCUCCUAUUUAUAUUGAGUUGAUAGUGUGGCUCAUUUUAGUGUGGCUAAGUUAAGAUGGUGGUUUUGUCUGUUGGUACUACGAUAGGCCGAUAGCCAUGGCGUGAUAUAUCUGUUUUGUGUCGAUAAGCCAGGUAGGGGUUGUGGGCAUGGACUAACCUCAUAGAUGUGGGUGUGACAGUUGAACUGAUAGCACUGCAAUUAUGAGUUGUUGAUUGCACAUUAGGGUCUGGGAUUGUGGCCAUGUUAUCGUAGAGGCACCACCACCAUGGUAGUGCGAUUGUGGCGAGUCAACAAUGUGGGUUUGGCUAAGUUAAGUCAGUGG
rnacentral:lncRNA from 1 species